rnacentral:lncRNA from 1 species
GUGACCCUGGCCCCAUGCCCAGGAGCAAGAGGUUGUCCUGAUGACGGUCCCCGCCCUGUCCUCUACCACAUCUGGCCUGGGUAUGCCCACACCACAGUACACAAGGCCCUCGGGUCAUUUCUGGGUCUGAAGUGUGUGCUCAGCUCUGGACUGACACAUUAGCCACAUCAGCAGCCAGAAUCCUCCUAUUGUCCCCUCAACACCCGGACAACCGAGGUGUUCCAGCUGUGGGAAACGGAGGCUUCGCGCCGCAAGGAAAGAGCCAAAGUCGUCCAGGGCUACUCUGAAAAGAGAGCACCUCCAAAACCAUGCUAAAGCCAAGCACAGUGGCAGAUGCCUGAAAUCUGAGCAUUUAGGAAGCAGAGACAGAAGGAACGGAAGUCUAGGGGCAGCCUGUGCUACAUACCUGUCAAACUUAAGGCAACGCGGGCCACCUGAGAUCAUGUCUCACAAAAACAAGAGCAAAAGCUCUCUACCCAAACAACAUGUACAUCUGUGUACAGUGCCAUUGACACAACAGGGUCUGUCCUUGUACACUCUAUGGUGAGUUGGGGGCUUUCUUUGACAUGGUUUAAAUUACCACCUCUCACUUCCU